GGGGAUUAGUGGCGAACGGGUGAGUAACACGUGGUUGCAAUCUGCCCUUCACUCUGGGACAAGCCCUGGAAACGGCGUCUAAUACCGGAUACCACUACCGCAGGCAUCUGUGGUGGUUGAAAGCUCCGGCGGUGAAGGAUGAGCCCGCGGCCUAUCAGCUUGUUGGUGAGGUAAUGGCUCACCAAGGCGACGACGGGUAGCCGGCCUGAGAGGGCGACCGGCCACACUGGGACUGAGACACGGCCCAGACUCCUACGGGAGGCAGCAGUGGGGAAUAUUGCACAAUGGGCGAAAGCCUGAUGCAGCGACGCCGCGUGAGGGAUGACGGCCUUCGGGUUGUAAACCUCUUUCAGCAGGGAAGAAGCGAAAGUGACGGUACCUGCAGAAGAAGCGCCGGCUAACUACGUGCCAGCAGCCGCGGUAAUACGUAGGGCGCAAGCGUUGUCCGGAAUUAUUGGGCGUAAAGAGCUCGUAGGCGGUCUGUCGCGUCGGAUGUGAAAGCCCGGGGCUUAACCCCGGGUCUGCAUUCGAUACGGGCAGACUAGAGUGUGGUAGGGGAGAUCGGAAUUCCUGGUGUAGCGGUGAAAUGCGCAGAUAUCAGGAGGAACACCGGUGGCGAAGGCGGAUCUCUGGGCCA
rnacentral:rRNA from 1 species